rnacentral:tRNA from 1 species
GGGGCCGUAGCUCAGCCUGGAUAGAGCGGCGGCCUUCGGAGCCGCAGGUCAGGGGUUCAAAUCCCCUCGGCCCCGCCA